CCUACGGGAGGCAGCAGUAGGGAAUCUUUCACAAUGGGCGAAAGCCUGAUGGAGCAACGCCGCGUGCAGGAUGAAGGCCUUCGGGUUGUAAACUGCUUUUAUAAGCGAGAAAUAUGAUGGUAACUUAUGAAUAAGGAUCGGCUAACUACGUGCCAGCAGCCGCGGUCAUACGUAGGAGCCCAGCAUUAUCCGGAGUGACUGGGUGUAAAGAGUUGCGUAGGUGGCAGAAUAAGUAGCUAGUGAAAUCUGGUGGCUCAACCAUUCAGACUAUUAGCUAAACUGUUAAGCUCGAGACCGUUAGGGGUAACUGGAAUUGCUAGUGUAGGAGUGAAAUCCGUAGAUAUGAGAAGGAACACCAAUAGCGUAGGCAGGUUGCUGGGACCGUUCUGACACUAAGGCACGAAAGCGUAGGGAGCGAACGGGAUUAGAUACCCGUGUAGUC
rnacentral:rRNA from 1 species